UACAGAGGGUGCGAGCGUUUAUCGGAAUUACUGGGCGUAAAGGGUGCGUAGGUGGUUCGAUAAGUCAGUUGUGAAAUCCCUGGGCUUAACCUGGGAAUUGCAUUUGAUACUGUCAAACUAGAGUGUGGUAGAGGUAAGCGGAAUUCCCGGUGUAGCGGUGAAAUGCGUAGAUAUCGGGAGGAACAUCAGUGGCGAAGGCGGCUUACUGGACCAACACUGACACUGAGGCACGAAAGCGUGGGUAGCAAACAGG
rnacentral:rRNA from 1 species